rnacentral:rRNA from 1 species
UACGAAGGGGGGCUAGCGUUGUUUCGGAAUUACUGGGCGUAAGGGCGCGUAGGCGGUGCCUCAAGUCAGGCGUGAAAGCCCCGGGCUCAACCUGGGAACCGCGCUUGAGACUGGAGUACUAGAGUUCGGGAGAGGAUGGUGGAAUUCCCCAGUGUAGAGGUGAAAUUCGUAGAUAUUGGGAAGAACACCGAUGGCGAAGGGCAGCCAUCUGG